GCCUGACUGGCUCAGUCAGUAGAACAUGUGACUCUUGAUCUCAGGGUCGUGAGUUCAAGCCCCAUGUUGGGUG
rnacentral:tRNA from 1 species